UCUCCUGAUGCCAGGCCUUUGCGAUAUUGUGCUCUCUUUGAUUCACAUCCAUCAUCUCGUCCAUACGUGGCUCGCUUCCAUGCUAAGAAGGUGCUAAAGUUUCGAGAUGCACUGUUGACAAGUUAUCACAAAAAUGAGGCCAAAUUUGCAGAAUUAACUCUGGACACUUACAGAAUGCUGCAAUGCUUGGAAUGGGAACCCAGCGGAUCUUUCUAUCAAAGAAGUCCAGUUGAACCACGAGCAAAUGGUGCAGUGACUGACCAAUCUAUAACUUCUGGACUGAUUGACAUUAACUUGGCUGCUGAGAUGAUGGAUCCAGCUUUGCCUCCAAAUCCAAAGAAGGCCGUUCUUUACCGUCCUAAUGUUCCACUGUUGAUAUCUGUUGUCGCUACGAUGUGUGAGGAGCUCCCUCCAGAGAGUGUGGUAUUAAUAUAUAUUUCCGCAUCAGGAAACACAAUUCAGAAUACCACCUCGCACACAGAAAGCUCUUCUAGUUCUAGAAAAUCUUCGAAGAACAGUGUCUUUUCUCGUACUUCCCAUGAACAAAAGAGUGCUUUACAUGAAAAUUAUACCAACACCAAUGGAGAUACAGGUCAAUAUUUCGAGAGUUGUUUGUGCUUAGGUCCUAGCAGAAGUGGAGGUUCAAAUAACCUCUAUCCAGGCGAUCUUAUUCCUUUCACACGAAGACCUCUCUUCCUAAUAAUCGAUAGUGACAACAGCGAUGCAUUCAAGGCAGGUUCUACAUGGGGCAGAAAGAGGAGAAAAAAGUGCUUUGUUUCUCUCUCCUCUGAGGCCAUCAUUCAAGAACCCAGGCACUGAGGUAACACAAACUGGAAGUCAGUUCACGUUGUUCUUGGCUGCUCCCUUACAGGCUUUCCGCCAGUUGGUUGGCCUUGUCUCAUCUGAUGAGGAUAUGGAUUGUUCAGAUGCGGCUGAUGGCAUCAUCUCAACUGCAUUUGCAGAAUGGGAGGUAAUCCUCUGUACAUCGACUAACCUAGAUUUGGUUUGGGCUCAAGUUCUAUCUGACCCUUUUCUGAGACGGCUUAUUCUCAGAUUCAUAUUCUGUCGUGCUGUGCUUGGUCUAUUCUGCUUGCAUGAACGUGGCAAUGAGUAUUUGCCUGUUUGUCUCCCAAAGCUUCCUGAUACAUUCUCACCAGAUUCUGAAACUGUUCAACCAGCUAUCAGACGACUUGCAAGACUUCUAAAAGUUGGAGAUUGUUUUCGAUUUUGACAUUCAUGAGACGUGAAUCGUGAUAUAUGGUGCUCCCUUUAUGAUGUAAAGAGAUCCAGAAACUUACCAGUCAGACGCCACCCUGGUUACCAAAGUGCUGGCUGGAAGUACGAAUGCAUUCUUUUUAGGUGAUCGGUUUACUUAGUUUACAUCAAAAUAUCUUCUUAUUUCAUGUGCAGAAUUUUCGGGGUUUUCUUCAUUAUUUAGGCUUUCUAUAGCAAGCAUUUGGUUGGUGAUACUGUGCAUUUCUAAUAGAAGGGGUCAGUCGAGUUUUUGUGUUCAGUUCUUUUUGUUCCUACAGGAAUUAGUGCUAAUUUGUUCAUAUGUAUGCUGUAUUAUAGAAGCUGUCG
rnacentral:misc_RNA from 1 species